rnacentral:rRNA from 1 species
AAUGAACGCUGGCGGAAUGCUUUACACAUGCAAGUCGAACGGCAGCACGGACUUCGGUUUGGUGGCGAGUGGCGAACGGGUGAGUAAUAUAUCGGAACGUGCCCAGUCGUGGGGGAUAACGUAGUGAAAAUUACGCUAAUUCCGCAUACGAUUUACGGAUGAAAGCGGGGGAUCGCAAGACCUCGCGCGAUUGGAGCGGCCGAUAUCAGAUUAGGUAGUUGGUGAGGUAAAGGCUCCCCCAGCCAACGAUCUGUAGCUGGUUUGAGAGGACGACCAGCCCCCCUGGAACUGAGACACGGUCCCGACUCCUACGGGAGGCAGCAGUGGGGAAUUUUGGACAAUGGACGCAAGUUUGAUCCAGCCCUUUCGCGUGCAGGACGAAGGCCUUCGGGUUGUAAACUGCUUUUGUACAGAACGAAAAGGUUUUUAUUAAUACUAGAGGCUCAUGACGGUAAAGGGAGAAUAAGCCCCGGCUAACUACGUG